rnacentral:rRNA from 1 species
CAGCAGCCGCGGGAAUACGAAGGGGGCUAGCGUUGCUCGGAAUUACUGGGCGUAAAGGGAGCGUAGGCGGAUGUUUAAGUCAGAGGUGAAAGCCCAGGGCUCAACCUUGGAACUGCCUUUGAUACUGGACAUCUUGAGUAUGGGAGAGGUAAGCGGAACUCCGAGUGUAGAGGUGAAAUUCGUAGAUAUUCGGAAGAACACCAGUGGCGAAGGCGGCUUACUGGCCCAUUACUGACGCUGAGGCUCGAAAGCGUGGGGAGCAAACAGGAUUAGAUACCCCCGUAGUCCCUGUCUCUUAUAC